GAACAACAAGCAAAGCUCCGAGAUGAUUAUAUUUCAUCUCAACGUGCAUGGUGAAUACUUCUUGCGAAAGAGUGCAAGAGUAGGGGUGAAAGAAUUCUGCAGAUGGCUUGUAAAGUGGAGGAAACAACAUGCAAUUGUCAAUAAAAUGGCCAUUGUUUACUUGUAUGAUACUUAAGAUUGAGAAGGUAUUAAGUAUGGACAGUAGUGUAUAGAACUCGUUCGCGUAGCUCCUUCAAGUUGUUGCGGUAGAUUUUAUUCUCAAUCUAAUUUGGGAUUUUAGUUUAAGUUAGCUACUCAAUUUUAUUUUAUUCCAGUAAAUUAUAUGCAUGAAAACCAGGCCUUUACACGAUCUCAUUCCGUUAUUACUUCUUCUGAUGAGUGGUUUUGUUGUUAGUAAUAUUUUUAUAAAAUGUUAUGAACCUUUAAGAAAUAAUAAUCUAUCACGACUUUUCACCUAACUGUUUAAACUCUUAGGCGAGUUGGUUCUUGAUAUGAUACCAUAACUUUCUAUCCAGCGGUUAGGAGUCUCAUUCUUGUCACUCUCGUUAAAGGGUAUUCCUGGGCAACAUUCAUUAGCCUUCGUCAACUAACUUUUU
rnacentral:sRNA from 1 species